AAUGCUAAAAGAAUGGAAGUUUAAAAAAAAACUUUUUUAAAAAUAAAAAUUAAAUUUUUUUUAAUCUGUGCAAAACCAAUUAUUUAUAUUAAAGACAAGAAGACCCUAUGAAUUUAUGAUUAAAUAAAUUAAAAAUUUUUAAUUUAUUUAAUCUUGAUUGGGGCAAUCAAAAAAUAUUAAUAACUUUUUUAAAUUUAAAUGAUCUAUUAUUAAUAAUCUAAUGAAAUAAAUACUCUAGGGAUAACAGCGU
rnacentral:rRNA from 1 species